GGGGAUUUAGCUCAGCGGCAUAAGCGCCUGCCUUGCAAGCAGGUGGUCGUGAGCUUGAUCCCCG
rnacentral:tRNA from 1 species